rnacentral:lncRNA from 1 species
CACAGAACAGAGGACUGCAGUGGAGAGGUUCCCUGUGGUGCUUUAUUUUAGAGGGUGCUUUGGUCAGGACGAUCUGACUUGUAAGGUGGAAUCAAGCACUAGACUUCGUCGGUCUUUAACCACAGGCCUGACUUCCAGAGCAAAAUAAGAACAGAGAAGUUUUGAGGGUUUGGGCCAGCGAAUGAGAAAGUUACCAGCUUUGUGAUGCUCUUAAAAGUGGGGCUUGAACAAAGGUCUUUUCAUCAAAGGCAGGGACUUUUUUUCCAGGAAGCAAUAAGUCGAGAUUUGUUGUAUUAUCCCCAUCUUUUUGGGGGUCUGGACAGCCUCCGUUUGUUUUCCUGGGUUUCACUUGCCUCUCUGUCUUAACUGUAAGAAGCAACGUAGUUUGACGUUGUGUGUGAGUUCUGGGUCUAGAGCAGGGUUUCACAGACGUUUUCCGUGAAAGGUCACAUAUUAAAUAGUUCAUGUUUUGCGGGCUACAGGUUGCAUAUUCUCCAUGUUAAUUUUUAAAAUGGUUUGAGAUUUGCAGAAAAAUUGCAAAGAUAGUAUGAGAAUGCCCAGGUCUCCCCCACCAUUAACAACGUACGUUAGGGUGGGAUAUUAAUUCACAGUUGAUGAGCCAGGUUUGAUAUGUUAUCAUUAACUGAAAUCUGUGCUUUAUUCAGAUUUCCUUAGUUUUUACGUAAUGUUCUUCAUCUGUUCCAGGAUGCCAUCCAGGAGAUCCCAUUACAUUUCACUGUCAUGUGCCCUUAAGCUCCUCUUGGCUGAGACAGUUUCUCAGACUUCCCUUGUUUCUGAUGACCUUGACGGUUUUGAGAGGUACAGGUACUUGGUAGGAUGCCCCUCUCUCGGAACCUGAUGCUUUUCUCAUGAUUGGACUGGGUGUAUGGUUUUGGGGGUGGAAGAUCACAUUGCUUUCAUCUUGUCAUGGCAAGAAUACAUCACGAUUUAUGAUGGCUGAGUUUGAACUUGAUCAUCUGGUUGAGGUAGUUUGUCAGUUUUCUCCACUGUGAAGUUGUUCCUUUGUUUCCAAAGACCUUGUCUCCCUAAGUGACAGCCUUGUGUUUCAGGACCCCAGUUACUGGAUCCCAGUGACUCUGACCCUGCCUGAGUGGUCAGGUCUUUCUCUCUUAUCACCCCCUCACUUACUUGUAAGGACCCUUGCAUUACGUUGGGCCCACCUGGCAAAAUUCAGGGUACCUCCCUGUGUUGAGGUCAGGUGAGGAGCAACUCCCAAGUCCACCUGGGCCCUAGCUCCCCUCUGCUCUGUAAUGUAACAUAUUCACGGGCUCCAGGGCAAGGAUGUGGAUGGACAUCUUGGGGAGACCGUUUUCCUGCCUGUCACAGGCCUGUCCACCCAGCGUUCCCCUGAUGACUGCAAUAUACCCACUCCCCCAUGAUUAUGGUCUUUCUCUUUGUUGAUUUUUUUUUAAUUUGGGACUCUUAUGUUUCUUAUCAUGGGACUAAUUCAGGCCUGCCGCAAAAGCUUCAGUUCCCUAAGGAGCCCGUAAAGAAGAAACUCGAAAUUACCCAUAACUGUACCAUCCAGAGCUAAUUGCUGUUGAUUUUUUGGUAUGUAUGUGCCCAGCCCUUCCCUCCCUGUCUGUGCAUACAUGUGUGGUUUUUGUCCUCAGAGUCCUGGAUCCUGCUAAGUGAUAACGUAAGUGAGCCAUAGACUCUCCAGAUGUUAGUUUAUAGAGGCGUCCAAGUCAGCCGUGGGUCCCAUUGUACCUGUGUGCAUGUGGAGAGAAGUGUUCCAGUGAUCCUCAUCUUGCUUAGGAAAAAAAAUCUCUCACAUAUUUACACCUUCAAGGAUUAGAAAGGCAUCAUUUAAAAUUAAUUCCAUGAACAAAUUAUCAACACAGACAGGCUUUCAAAAUUAGAUUUUGUAAGAUUUGAAUUUUCCUUUCACAGAACGUGACUAUAAGUACUGACUUACUACAGAUACGAGCUGUACUCUAACAUUUGCACGGGCAGAUACGUGAGAAAGGUGUAAGGUGGCAGAAAUCUCCCCUGACAAUGGAGUAGGAGGUCCAGCCGCGUGCUGUCAGUUUGACACCUUCUCAGGUUAGAUUCUGAGCCGGAUUUUCCAUGCAGACUCCGGUCUGUCCCUCAUGUUCUCCUUGUGUGUCUCAGAAUGUUUUUUUGCUGAUGAUUUAAAAGAAUUUCAUUUCCCAAGAGGCUCGGAAAAUUGUUAGCAUGGAUUAUAUAGAAACAGGUUUGAGAAGCACCUUUCAGUAGAAGAAAGGAAAAGGCACGCUUGAGUUCCUUUCAUAAAAACAGUGUGAUGUGACUGAUUUUCAAUCAUAGCUGCUAACUGGUAUUAAGUAACUGUUAAUAUUAUUGUGUUUUAUAUAGAUUAUCUUAAUAGUUGCUGCAGUCCUACCUGCCCGAUACUGUUUUUACCCCCGUCUUACCCAUGGGGGAACAGACAGUGGGAGGUUAGCAACUGUCAGAGCUCAGAUUCACAUCCUAAAAGACCACAGGGCCUUAGUCUUAAUUUCACCAAGACCUCUUCUCCCAGAUUACACAUAUUUAUUAAACCUGUUUUCUUCACUUAGUAACUUACCUUAAUUUUUUUUCUUAAGGAAUAUAAGUCAGUAUCAUUGUUAGUAAAUGUAUUAUAUGCCAUUAUAACAGACCAUAAUUUAUUU